UACACUCCCUCCUUUUCCUCCCAACCUUUUCGGUCUAGAAACUUCUGCCUUUCACAGAUACUUCAUAGACUCUUUCUCUCUCCGCAUGAAGUCUUUGAAUUGAAAUUCUCUCUAUGCAAUAUUUAGGGAUUAUGCAAGCUUGAAGAAACAUGAUUUGAUAAAACCAGAACGUGUUUACUUGUCAAAAAAAAGGUCAGAGUCACAUUAAUUUUGCUUGAAUCUUGACGAAUAGAGGAAGUUCUGUUCAUCAAAGAAAUCUUACAAGUUUUACAGUGGAAAGAAUCACAUAAUAGCCAAGCAAACCACUUAUCAAACACAAAGGUUAUUCCCGGUUCUUCCUAUUUGUAUUUUGGCUUUGGAUUCAUUAUUAAUUUAUGUUAGAUGCUUUUGGAUUCAGCCACUAAAUCCUCUCACUUACCAUUUUAUCCAGAUGAAACCUAGCAAUUUUGCUGUUGUGAAUAGUUUAAUCGUGAAGUUGAAGGGCAAUUCUUAUAUAUCCCCAAAAGAAAAAAAAACUGCCCUAUUAGGAUCUUAACCAUGAUUAGGAUAAUGAAUAUUUUCAUACAUUUUCCCAAUUACUACUUGUGUUAGAUGCCUUUUGAUUUGUUACCAAAAUUUUCCUUUCUUCAUUAUUAAUUGAAGUAUUUUUUUAAUAGUUGUGAAUAAUUUUAAAAGUAUAUAUGCACUUUUGUACAUGCACGUAUGGUAAAUCGUAAGAGAAGUUUUCUUUUUUUACUUAUUCUUUGCUAAAUAUUGGUUAACUUUGCUGAAAUUCUAAGGAUUUGAAAUGUAGUACUUUUUUUCUUACAAUCACUAUGCAUUUUUUUCUUACUUUUGGUUGAUCCUUAAAAAAUCUAAAACCACACUUACUAUUUAGAGUUUUGACAUUGAAAUUACCCUAUUUGUGUAGGUAUAAUGUUUUAAAGUUGGCCAGGUCCUUAUACUGUUCAGAAUUUCUUUUUUACUUUUUUUUUUCUUUUUUUCUUUUAUUGUUUUAGGUAAGUAAUUUAGAAAAUUUGGAUUACAUGAUGGAAAAUCUGUUCCAGGCUAGUUUCUUCUAUUUCUGGGUUUUUGAAUUUGAUUAUAGGCACAAAAUUUUGCUUAACAUCUAAGAAUCAUUCACUUUUACUUUUCUCUCAUGGAGUUUGAUUUGAAAAAUAAAAACUGAAUCUGACGUUCUCUAUAUUUGUAAUUCUGCUUUAUUUUAGUUUUGUAACGACCCAACCGGUCAUUUCAUGUAUCAUAUCCCCUCUUUCCCCGUUUCUGCUUCUUCAUGUGUUGUUCAGUUGUAUUUCACCAUAUCAUGUUGGUUGUGUUAUGUUCGGAGUGGUCUUAGAGUGGGAUGAGACACUUAGUUUCUUAUUUAGAAGCUUAAGUUGGAAAAGUCAUCCGGAUGUUGACUUAUGAGUAGAAGGUCUUGGAUGUGAAUUCUGAUGGUUCGGAUAGCUUUGUUAGGUGAUUUUGGACUUAUGAGCGUGUUCAGAAUGUAUUUUGGAGGUCUGUGAUAUAUUUAGACUUGAAUUGGCGAAAUUGGAAAUUGGCGUUUUUUGGUCGGCAGUGAAAAUUUUGAUAUAGGGGUCAGAAUAGAAUUCCGAAAAUUGGAAUAGGUCCGUUGUGUUAUUUGUGAUGUGUGCGCAAAAUUUCAGGUCAUUCGGAUGUAGUUUGAUAGGUUUUGUAUCAUUUGCGGAAUUCGAAAGUUUUGAAAUCCUUAGGCUUGAAUUCGAGGUCGAUUUGGUGUUUCGAUGUUGUUUUGAGUGUUCCGAAGGUUGGAAUAAGUUGGAAUGGUGUUAUGUGACUUGUUUGUAUUUUUGGUUGAGGUCCCGGGGGUCCUCGGAAUGAUUUCGAAAAGUUUGAACUUGAGAAAUUGCAGCUGGUGCUGCUGCCUCUGUCAUAUCUACACCUGCGGAUUGACGAUCGCAGGUGCGAGCUCCGCAAGAGUGAAAAAAGCCGCAGGUGCGUGGAGGACCGCAAGUGCGGCUUGGUGAACGACAUCUGCGAUGCCGCAGGAGCGGUAAGGCGACCGUAUAUGCGAGGGUUGUAAUGUUAAGUGAAAUCUGCAAAAGCGGAUAUAUUUCCGCAGAAGUGGAAGCGCAGGUGCGCUUAUGGGAUCGCAGGUGCGGAAUCCUUGGGGCAGAAAGUAUAUAAGCUCCCUUUCGUGAAUUUCAAUUAUUUUUCCAUCAUUUUUGGACGAUUUUAGGCUUCAAGCUGUGAUUUCAAGAGAGAAUCAAGUGUUUUCAGAGAGGUAAGCUACUUGGGUCUUGUAUCUUAUGUUUAUGGUUAUUAUUCCAUUGUUUAAUUAUGAAAUUAGUGGGAAAAUUUGAGAAGAAAUUGGGAGACUAGGGCUUGAAAUUGGAGAGUUUAAAUUGGGGAUUUGAGGGGUCAUUUGAGGUUCAAUUUUGAUGAUUUUGGUAUGUAUAGACUCGUGAGAGGAUAAUGAUUCUAGUGUUGUGAUUUUUAUCGAAUUUCGAGACGUGAGCCCGGGGGUCGGGUUUGGCCAAUUUCGAGAAUUUUGAUUUAAUUUGAUAAUUUUUGUGUAGGCUUUGUUCCUUUGGCAUGUAUUGAUGAUAUCAUUCUAAUUUUGGAUAGAUUCGGGGCGAUUCGAGGCCUAGUCGAGAGGCAAGGGCAUUGCGGAGUAGAUUUUCGUCUGGUUGGAGGUAAGUAACGAUUGUAAAUCUAGACCUGAGGGUAUAAAACCUCAGAAUUUUGUACUAUUUUGAUAAAUAAGGUGACGCACAUACUAGGUGACGAGCGUGCACUUGCAAAGAUUGUGACUUGGUCCGUCCCAUGACAACUGUAUAGUUGCAUAUUUCAAUAAACUCUAUAUGAUAUCUAUGUGUUUACAAAUAAAUUUGUUAACUUGGGCUGAAUGCCAUGUUUGGGGCCUUGUGUCGUACUGUUUGGACCCUCAAGUGAUAUUUUACUACUAUCAUCACACCGUUUGGAUUCGAAAGCAUAUCCUUAGUCAUGAUUUUUAUUUGUUUAUUGUUUGAUUCAGUUUCAUUACUCUACUUUUAAAUAUAUAAAAACUGUUUGGGCUGAGUUCCCUGAUUUUUUUACUGAAAUGCCCGAAUGGCUGUGAGGUUGAUGACUGAGAGAGGGCGAGGGCCUAAUGGUGAGGAUUAUAUAUUUAUGGAUCGGGUUGCACGCCGCAGCGGUAUAUAUAUAUAUAUAUAUGUGUGUGUGUGUGUGUGUGUGUGUGUGUGUGUGUGUAUUGGGCUUCACGCUGCAGCGAUAUAGCAUCUGGGAUGUAGGAGCCCCUCCGGAGUCUGCACAUCCCCAGUGAGUGCAGUCGACUAUAUAUUUAUGGAUCGGGCUGCACGCCGCAACAGUUAUUGUGAGAUAUCUAUUGAGCGGGCGUGCUGAGUGUGAGUGUUGGUUGAUGAGAAUUGAGUCACGAGUGACUGAGAGGCUUGUCGAGGGUCUUGUUUAUGAAAUUAAUAUUUUCACUCUUCUUUUAUACUGAGCCUCUAUUGAAAAUGUUGAACAAAUGCUUUAAAUAACUUUCAUUGAAAUGAAAUUCAAAUGUUAUAACUCCAGUACGUCAGGAACCAUCAGAAAAAGAAAGACUAUCCUAGAAAAAAUUGUAUAACUUGGGCCUCAAAAAGCGAUCGGAAAGCGAAGCCCUUCCUUCCAAUCCAAGCCGGCGGUGGCUAAGAAGCUUGAUCACUUUGUUGAAUAAAGCAAGUUGACGUGAUGAUCGAAUCUGGGUGAAGUGUCGCUACUUGGCCCAGCGCUCUGAAAAGACAAAUUGCCAAUCUUUUCUUUCAUCUCGGGAGAAAUACGAUCGGGAGAAAUCCGUUGCUUGUUCCUUUCGUGACUCAAACAGCCGGUUUGCGAGAUGUUCGAAAUUUAAUUACCGAUUUGAUCUUGCUAUUCCCACUGAGGUUUUUAUGUUAUGAAUUGUAUAUAAUUUUAAAUGCUCGUCACUUCACUCAGCCUUUAUUUAUAAUUGUUACUUACUGAGUUGGCGUACUCACGUUACUCCCUGCGCCUUCUGUGCAGAUCCAAGCGCCAGAGCAUCCCAGUGAGAGCUGAUCUUUCCUUUAGAGCAUUUUCAGAGUUAGCAAGCUAGCUGCACGGUGUCCGCAGCCUUGCCUUUCUCUUUCCUAUCUAUUAGUAUUUAUUUUUAUCAGACUCAUCUUGUAUUGAGCAUGCAGUGUCAGAUUGUAUUUUAGUGACUCAUGACUAGUGACACCGGGGUCGGGCAGUGUUUGAUGUUUUGCAUAUUUGUUUCCGCUUGUUUUGAAAUGUUUUAAAUGAAAGAUUUGUGAUAAUAUCUGAUUAGUAAAUGAAUUAAGAAAAAGACAUGUUUUACGUUAUAAUUGUCGAAUCGACUUGCCUAGUACUGCGAGCGGCGCCACCACAACCGAGGUGAUUUAGGGUCGUGACAAGUUUUCAAUUUGUCAAAUAUUUUUCCGUUUCGAGUUUAAUUUUUGUUGUUUUGAUCAAAUAGGACAG
rnacentral:lncRNA from 1 species